rnacentral:rRNA from 1 species
CCUACGGGUGGCAGCAGUGAGGAAUAUUGGUCAAUGGGCGGAAGCCUGAACCAGCCAAGUAGCGUGCAGGAUGACGGCCCUACGGGUUGUAAACUGCUUUUAUACGGGAAUAACGCGCCUUACGUGUAGGGCUUUGCAUGUACCGUAUGAAUAAGGACCGGCUAAUUCCGUGCCAGCAGCCGCGGUAAUACGGAGGGUCCGGGCGUUAUCCGGAUUUAUUGGGUUUAAAGGGAGCGUAGGCCGCAUGUUAAGCGUGCUGUGAAAUGUCCGGGCUCAACCCGGGCCUUGCAGUGGAAACUGGCGGGCUUGAGUGCGCGAGAAGCAGGCGGAAUUCGUGGUGUAGCGGUGAAAUGCUUAGAUAUGACGAAGAACCCCGAUUGCGAAGGCAGCUUGCUGCAGCGGAACUGACGCUGAUGCUCGAAAGCGUGGGUAUCGAACAGGAUUAGAUACCCCAGUAGUC